UGAAAUUCUUCAUAACUAGUCAAGAGCAUUAUAAUGUUUAAAUUAUAACUAACUACAGUGUCAUUUCUUCCCCAAAGCCUUACAUGGAUGGCAUGAUGACAAAAAAAUGGCUGAAAACAGAUGAAGAUUUUAAAGAAGUGAUUUCUAGAUUAGAGAAUUAUUCUGGGCUCUGUAAAUCCAUGAGAGCUCCAUCAGUCCAAGUGAGUCUCCACUGAUCUGCUCAGAGAUGCUUUUUAAUAGCAGCUGCAGAGAGCCACUUUAAACACAGUGUCUAUGUUUACAGAUUUUUGUGAAUGAUAUGCACUAUUAUGUAGCCAAAGAAUAUGUCUCCCAGCUGAUGAAGAAAAAAUAUUCAUGCAAAAAACCCAAAAACGAAGAUGCUGCCAUAAAAUUGAAAGAACAGUGGAAUGAACUCAGGAAACUAUUUAUGCAAAUGGUAAGAUACAGUCCAGUAUCAAACAGUGUGAAAUAUACAACAGUUUUUUUUUCAAGGUAGAUGCACUGAAAACAUUAUUCUGUAUUUAGGGAUCAUCCUUAAAGUGGCUUUAUCCAUUGGGAAAUUACCUUAGUGACAUUAUUGGAAUGGAUAAUGAGAAAAAUAUAAAAGAUCUGUUACAUCCAUUGGUUAGUAAUUACCCAGACAUAAGCAAGAAGCAGUUGUCAGCUGUUCUGUCCUUCAGAGACAAAGGUUUUAGCUUGGAGAAGCACAAUGUUAUUAAUCACUUUACUGUGCUUAAACGGGAUGCUGGGAACACAAAUCAUGAGCACUCCUUCUUCACUGACAUUGAGGUACUUUUCACAAUACAUUGCACUGAAUCCUAAUGUAGUGAGUCAAAAUAUCAUGUUUAAUUUAAAUAAAUGUAUAAAAUAAACUAAUGAAUUGAAAUAAAUUUUAACUAAACAAGUGGCAUGACUGAUUCUGAUCAUAUCACUGUACUACCUUACUUAAGUACACUUUAUAAAUGUAUGUAUUUUUAAGUACAUAGGCUGACAUGCAUCCUCAUUGAGUAUCACACCUUUGUCUUUACAGUGAGUUUUCUUUUGGCAAUUUUGAUGCUUCAGGAACCAUCAUAGGGGGAAAAAAUAUUGCAUCGUUUUUUUAAAAAUGUGUACAGUACAUUUUCUUGUUAGAAUAUACAGGCAUUAUUAGUGUAUUUGGUGCAUGAUUACUUACAUGUGGUGUCUAUGUUCUGGUAAAAAAUAUCUGAAAAGACAGACAUGUAGGCUGUGAUCUUCACUGUGAUAUUCUGCUCAAAUUAAAGAGCAAUACAGCUUGUCUGUGUUCCUUCAUGAGGCAACUUGUGCUAUUUGCCUUUAACAAUCCCUUAUUUUAGAGCAAUAUAAUCGUGAUUAUCAAUUUAACCGUUGGUUGUUUGUACUUUUACUUACCAAUAGAGGGAGACAUUAAACUAUAGACGCAAUAUUUGCAUUUCCUCCAUAUUGCCUAAUCAUGCAAAAAGAGACUUGAUGGAUUCAGUCUGUUAAUCUACUGUGAUAUCAAUCAUGUAAAUGUGAUGUAUAAAACAUUAUGUCGGAUCAAACCGAGUGUGUGCUGUGCAAUAUUAACUCCAGAUGGACCAAGCUCUUGCAGCAAAACCGAUUGGUUAUUUACUGUAGAUCUUGUCCUUCCCUCUUCUUGUUUGAUGCAAAUUUUAAACCUUUUUUUAGCCUAAACCUAAUAUACUCUCUGAUUUUAUCAGUGAGAAAAAAAACUUGGAGAUAAAACCUGUAACUACAGUGUGUUAUUGAACAAAUAUUUCCUUUCAUAUGGCGUCUGUACUGUCUAGUUUUGGGGAUAUUUCUAGAGAUUUGGAUGUGAAAUGCCACAUUUGUUUACAUAUUGAUGUUUGAUUUGGUCUUGUAGCCUACUAUCUGUAAUCUCUUACGGGAUAAGCUUAAAUUUAUGUGAAUGACAAUUAAACAUAUUUUUAUACCUUUCCACAUGCA
ensembl:lncRNA